CGACUAUCACCAGCCUCCAGCUUAGUGCCCCAAUAUAAACGUUCUCCAGCCAAGCAUCUUAAUACCCACAUUCUCCAAAAUCCCCAAUCUCAGCAACUUCAAUCCAACCAUCCCCAAUCUCAGCUUUUCUAAUAUCCGCCACGUUAAUAUUGCAAGUUUCUAAUAUCUGCCACGUUAAUAUUACACGUUUCUAAUAUCUGCCACGUUAAUAUUGCACGUUUCUAAUAUCUGCCACGUUAAUAUUACACGUUUCUAAUAUCUGCCACAUUAAUAUUGCACGUUUCUAAUAUCUGCCAUGUUAAUAUUACACGUUUAUAAUAUCCGCAACGUUAAUAUUACACGUUUAUAAUAUCUGCC